GAGCUCAGAAUCAUUCAUCUUUACUAAGAAAAUAUAACACCAAAUUCAUUUCCCCAGUACGUCUUCUUGCAAAUUAUAAAAUUCAAGUAAUAUACAUUUUUUUAUCAUAUAUAACUAAAAUAGAAGUUCAACUUGUGCUAAAUUCCCAUAUUAGUAAUGAUAUUAAAAUAGUUUUUUUAUUUUAGAUGAUAAGUAGGCUCUUAUUUAAUAUGGUUCCUUAUUGUGGACCAUAUUAAUAAUAUCAUUAUUACAAGUUUUUAUUUUAGAUAAUAAGUAGAGCUCUUAUUUAAUAUACUUCUUUAUUUUCAAUACUUCUUUAAUAGUCAUCAUAAAAAUAACUUCAAAUAGUAAAUUAAUAACAUA
rnacentral:lncRNA from 1 species